UCGUAGGGCAUUCUCUGUCUUUCAACAGGACUUUAUUAUUCUAAUGAAACUCAUACUAGGUAAAUUCUCCUUCAAGUCAAGCACCUUGU
rnacentral:pre_miRNA from 1 species